UAGCUUGACACUGAACAUUGAGCCUUGAUGUGUAGGAUAGGUGGGAGGCUUUGAAGUGUGGACGCCAGUCUGCAUGGAGCCGACCUUGAAAUACCACCCUUUAAUGUUUGAUGUUCUAACGUGGACCCGUAAUCCGGGUUGCGGACAGUGUCUGGUGGGUAGUUUGACUGGGGCGGUCUCCUCCUAAAGAGUAACGGAGGAGCACGAAGGUUGGCUAAUCCUGGUCGGACAUCAGGAGGUUAGUGCAAUGGCAUAAGCCAGCU
rnacentral:rRNA from 1 species